ensembl:lncRNA
ACUUGAUGGUUCCUUCUAUGAGAUCAUGUGGGUGGACUUUGAGAUUGACAAUUUCAUCAACCUGCGGUCAUCGCAGUCCAUCCGCUGGCAGAUAGAGUAUCCCUCCACCGGAGCGUCUGCUGAAGUCAUCUCCACCAUCUACAUCAUCCAGAGGGACCUACAGGGUAUCGUACCCAUUCCGGAGGGGCAGGUAGGUUUGCAUUUGAUGAAACUGUAUGAAGAUCAUCCACCUGAACUGUGUUUUAGACAGGUAGGGAUUCAUCUCUUUAGGGAUUUAAGUCUUUAAGUCUUUCAGUCUUCCAGACAUGCAGCCUCCUGUGGUUCAGAAUGAUAUGAAUAACAAUACUUUGUCAUGUCAGAAACAUAGGACGCAAAGAAUGCAAAUAGCAAAUAGACCGCAGCAGCUAUCUCUCUGCUUUGUAAAACACAGCAUGUGCAGUCAAUAGUGAAGAUGAAGAGCAAUAGAAAUUUUCUUAGUAAAAUGCUCCCUUUUUUGACCAUAUUAUCUACAGAUUAGAAAGUUUUAAUGUAUCCUCAUCUGUUUUGUUUUAAUAUUAUGUACUUACAUUUUGGUAAUUGUUAUUGACAAGAUAUUAUUUAGUUGACAGGAAAUUGUAAUGAGAAAAUGAGAGAAGAAGAGGAUCAGGAUAUGAUGUGGGUCUCCCACAUCAACACUUGUGCUAAACACUAGGCCACAAGCCAGACACCUUUAUUUAUUUAUUUAUUUUUUUCAUAUUUGACCUUCUGAUAGGUCAGGUCAUGUGCUCUUCCCCCGCUGUUAGCAGCUCCAUGAGACAUGUGCCUCCAGCAGGGGGGAGAGGUGACUCUCACAGCCCCAAUCCGGGCUCUCCUGCUGGGGUACAUGAUUCCAGCACACACCCAUCAGCUCGCUCUCUCCAUGGAGCCUCUCACAGUGUUGAAUGGCUGUUUCCUCUGUGGGGGGAAGUCAUAGAGACUGAAGCGGGAUGAUAGAGAGUAUUUUUAUAACACAUCAUUUUUUUGUAUUUUUCUACAUUUUUUCUUUACACACACUAUAUUUGUUUGAAAAGAAAUUAAUACUUUUAUUCAGCAAGCAUGCAUUAAAUUGAUUAAAAGUGAUGGUAAAGUCUAUAUAUUGUUACAAAAAAGUAUUCUAUUCCAAAUAAAUUCUGGCAUUUUGAACUUUCUAAUCA